rnacentral:rRNA from 1 species
GAUGAACGCUGGCGGCGUGCUUAACACAUGCAAGUCGAACGGAAAGGCCCAAGCUUGCUUGGGUACUCGAGUGGCGAACGGGUGAGUAACACGUGGGUGAUCUGCCCUGCACUUCGGGAUAAGCCUGGGAAACUGGGUCUAAUACCGGAUAGGACCACAUUUUGGAUGGUGUGGUGGAAAGUUUUUCGGUGUGGGAUGAGCUCGCGGCCUAUCAGCUUGUUGGUGGGGUAAUGGCCUACCAAGGCGUCGACGGGUAGCCGGCCUGAGAGGGUGUACGGCCACAUUGGGACUGAGAUACGGCCCAGACUCCUACGGGAGGCAGCAGUGGGGAAUAUUGCACAAUGGGCGCAAGCCUGAUGCAGCGACGCCGCGUGGGGGAUGACGGCCUUCGGGUUGUAAACUCCUUUCGCUAGGGACGAAGCGCAAGUGACGGUACCGGGAGAAGAAGCACCGGCUAACUACGU